GAAAUAAUAUACAAAAAUAAAAUAAUAUUUUACUGCUAACCAAGUGAAAUAAAAUUACAACAAUUUUUAGUAAUCGCAUGUGAACAGAUUGAAGUUACUAUUUUGCAUCAUGUAUGUUAAAUAAGUGCACGUGCUAAGUAAAUAUUUGUGAUGAAAGUAUAAGAUCAACAGCAACAACUCCUGAAAAUUUCAAUAGGAUUGGUCAAUUAUUUUGGCUGAAACAAGCGUUGGAACCAUAAUGGAAAGCACAGCCAA